rnacentral:rRNA from 1 species
AYUCYUACGGGAGGCAGCAGUGGGGAMUCUUGCGCAAUGGGCGAAASCCUGACGCAGCAACGCCGCGUGAGUGAAGAAGSCCUUCGGGUUGUAAASCUCUUUWGUCCGGAGCGAAACGGSCGUGGUGAAUAUCYGCGUCUACUGACGGUACCGGAAGAAUAAGCACCGGCUAACUACGUGCCAGCAGCCGCGGUAAUAYGUAGGGUGCGAGCGUUAAUCGGAAUUACUGGGYKUAAAGCGUGCGCAGGCGGUUUUGUAAGUCAGAUGUGAAAUCCCCGGGCUUAACCUGSGAACUGCGUUUGAAACUWCGGAGCYAGAGUGUGGCAGAGGGGGGUGGAAUUCCACKUGUAGCAGUGAAAUGCGUAGAUAUGUGGAGGAACACCGAUGGCGAAGGCAACCCCCUGGGCCAACACUGACGCUGAGGCACGAAAGCGUGGGGAGCAAACAGGAUUAGAUACCCUGGUAGUCCACGCCCUAAACUAUGUCAACUAGUUGUCGGGAAAGCAAUUUCUUGGUAACGAAGCUAACGCGUGAAGUUGACCGCCUGGGGAGUACGGUCGCAAGAUUAAAACUCAAAUGAAUUGACGG